rnacentral:rRNA from 1 species
UACAGAGGGGGCAAGCGUUGUUCGGAAUUACUGGGCGUAAAGGGCGCGUAGGCGGCCCUCUAAGUCGAACGUGAAAUCCCCGGGCUCAACCCGGGAACUGCGUCCGAUACUGGAAGGCUUGAAUCCGGGAGAGGGAUGCGGAAUUCCAGGUGUAGCGGUGAAAUGCGUAGAUAUCUGGAGGAACACCGGUGGCGAAGGCGGCAUCCUGGACCGGCAUUGACGCUGAGGCGCGAAAGCCAGGGGAGCAAACGGG